UUUAACUUGAAAUUAUUAACACAAGUUAAUCCAUUUACACGUUUCCUUCCAGUCAUCGACGGUGUGAUACUUAACUGUACCACAGUGAUGACAACAAUUCAUCUCCUAGUCCUCACACUGGUGGUCAGUGGCAGUCUGGCUCGUCACAUAGUGAGCAGAACGAGAGAUGGUCGAGAAAUUGAGCUGUUUGACUCCCGCCACCUGGACCCGUAUGUCCGUCACACUGAUGAUUAUGGCGAGCUGCCCGUGCCUGCUCCUGCACCACCCGACCCGUACUACCCAAACCUGGAGAAUGAAUACUAUUGACAGAAAAUAAAUGAUGGUGUUUUCUCAUUUUACUGACAGUCCAAAUAAAUAAAUAAAUAAAAUGUAUG